GGCCCCUUGGUCAAGCGGUUAAGACACCGCCCUUUCACGGCGGUAACAGGGGUUCAAGUCCCCUAGGGGUCA
rfam:Acetobacterium woodii DSM 1030, complete genome.